CGCCAGGGGACUACGAGCAUAGCUUAAAACCCAAAGGACUUGGCGGUGUCUCAGACCCACCUAGAGGAGCCUGUUCUAGAACCGAUAACCCCCGUUAAACCUCACCACUCCUUGUUAAUCCCGCCUAUAUACCGCCGUCGCCAGCUUACCCCAUGAGGGUAUAACAGUAAGCAAAAUGGAUAAGUCCCAAAACGUCAGGUCGAGGUGUAGCGCACGAAGUGGGAAGAAAUGGGCUACAUUUUCUAACACAGAAAAUUACGAAUGGUUUACUGAAACACACACCUGAAGGAGGAAUUAGUAAUAAAAAGCAAAUAGAGAGUCCUUUUGAACCAGGGUCUGAAACACGC
rnacentral:rRNA from 1 species